GUGCAGCCGCCGCGGUAAUACCGGCAGCCCGAGUGAUGGCCGAUAUUAUUGGGCCUAAAGCGUUCGUAGCCGGCCAGACAAGUCUGUUGGGAAAUUCACGCGCUCAACGCGUGGGCGUCCAGCGGAAACUGUCUGGCUUGGGGCCGGAGGACUCGAGGGGUACGUCCGGGGUAGGAGUGAAAUCCCGUAAUCCUGGACGGACCACCGGUGGCGAAAGCGCCUCGAGAGGACGGACCCGACGGUGAGGGACGAAAGCCAGGGUCUCGAACCGGAUUAGAUACCCGGGUAGUCC
rnacentral:rRNA from 1 species